rnacentral:piRNA from 1 species
UUGAAAGUGUAUCUGAAACCUUCUGUGGUUC